GGCUGGCUCCGGGGCCCACCCAAACAGCAGUGGUCCCCGGGACUUCCUGAGCAACAGCCUUAGGGGUGCCCAGAGGCUGUCCAGACAGCAGUCCCCGGGAGCAGCGGCUGCGGGGCAGUCAACCUCUAGCACUGGAGCAGCCUCCCCCUCCCCCGCAAGCAGGGCUCCCCCGAAGCAGGAGGUUCCUGGAAGUAGAGAUUUAGUCAAGGGUAUUUAUGUUUAAAGUGAUGGCUGUGAAUUUUUAUUUAGUGUCCAUGACCUUCACCAAAAAUACUCAUGACUAAGAGCAUGGCUUCACUUCCGAGUUAGAGCACAUUAAAGCAGCCCAAUGCACUCUAACCCAUGACGUGUCCACACUGGCAAGGCAUGUAGAGUGCUCUGAUUCCGUGGCUAGAGCGCUCCUGGUACUCUACCUCAACAAGUGGAAUAACGUUUAAUGCGCCCCCCGCUGGAGCGCCACGGUGCCAGUGUGGACGCCCUGGUCUGUUAAUGUGCUCUGAUCAGCCUCCAGAAGUGUUCCACAAUGCCUGUUCAGCCACUCUGCUCAUCAGUUUGAACUCUACUGCACUGCCCUCAGGUGACCAAUCGUCAGACUCGCCCUUUAAAUUCUCUGGGAAUUUUGAAAAUCCCCUACCUGUUUGCUCAGCCAGAUGUAGAGUGCUCUCAGCGAAUCUUUCCAGGUGACCAUGCCUCCAUGCUCCAGGCGAUCCCCAUUAUGGAGUGAUGGCAAGAUGCUGGACCUCAUCAGUGUUUGGGAGGAGGAAGCUGUCCAGUCUCAGGUGUGCUCCAGCCUUAGGAAUUAUGAUACCUUUGGGCAGAUAUCAAGGGACAUGAUGGAAAGGGGCCAUGACUGGGAUGCACUGCAGUGCAGGGUUAAAGUGAAGGAGCUGCAGAAUAACUACUGGAAAGCCCGCGAGGCAAACCACCACUCUAGUGCUACCCCUGCGACCUGCCAUUUCUGCGAAGAGCUGGAUGCGAUACUUGCGGUUGACCACCACCUCCUCUUCGAGUACCCCCAUGGACACUUGACAGUGCAGUUCAACAAGAUAGGAGGAUGAGCAAAGAGGGAGCAAGGGUGCUAAGGUGGAGGAAGACACCCCAGAAUCUAUAUAUGAAUGCAGCCAGGAGUUGUUCUCAAGCCAGGAGGAAGGUAGCCAGUCAUGGCAGCCAGUACUUGGAAGAACAAGCAACAGAGGAGGUUCCCGAUGCAACCUUGAGAUCUCAGCUGUCUAUGUUAUCACCGACCGAGAGGCUGCAAAGAAUCAGGAAGAGGCCACGUAGAAGCAAAGACGACAUGCUGCAUGAAGUAGUGUAGAAGUCACUUAAUGAGAAUCUAAAAGUGCAGGACUGGAGGGAGAGUGAAAGGAGGAUCCGCCAGCAGAAUGUGGAUCACUGGCACAAAAGUGCGGCGCUCCAGCAGCAAAGCACCGAUUGGCUGAUAAGCAUCAUGGAGCACCAAGCGGACUCGAUCCAGGUGCUCGUAGCCAUGCAGGCGGAGCACUACGCCUCCCCCUGCUUGUCCCAAAACUCUUUCAGUUGCGCCUCCAUGUCACCUCCAACCCACUUUCCCCAACAUUCGAGUUCUUAUUGCCACCAACUGCCUCCAACACCUGUAGCUUCACCACCUAGCCCUGAAAACUACAAACCUUACCCACUGCACUCAACUCCCAUCACCAUGCAGUAUAGCCAUCCUGAAGUGCAGCACUCAUUGCACAGCACUCCAGAUAGGAAGGCUGAAUAUAACAGGACAUACGCAAACCCAUGACUGUACCGUUCCCCACCCCACCCCCCUUGCCCUUUCUGUUUCCCAAGCAGUUGUGUUUCUUUUCAAUAAAUGGAUUUUUUGGCUUUGAAAA